GACGAACGCUGGCGGCGUGCUUAACACAUGCAAGUCGAACGGAAAGGCCCUGCUUUUGUGGGGUGCUCGAGUGGCGAACGGGUGAGUAACACGUGAGUAACCUGCCCUUGACUUUGGGAUAACUUCAGGAAACUGGGGCUAAUACCGGAUAGGAGCUCCUGCUGCAUGGUGGGGGUUGGAAAGUUUCGGCGGUUGGGGAUGGACUCGCGGCUUAUCAGCUUGUUGGUGGGGUAGUGGCUUACCAAGGCUUUGACGGGUAGCCGGCCUGAUAGGGUGACCGGACACAUUGGGACUGGGAUACGGCCCAGACUCCUACGGGAGGCAGCAGUGGGGAAUAUUGCACAAUGGGAGGAAGCCUGAUGCAGCAACGCCGCGUGCGGGAUGACGGCCUUCGGGUUGUAAACCGCUUUCGCCUGUGACGAAGCGUGAGUGACGGUAAUGGGUAAAGAAGCACCGGCUAACUACGUG
rnacentral:rRNA from 1 species